rfam:Myotis brandtii contig233092, whole genome shotgun sequence.
GGCUGGUUCUCGGGUGACGUACUCCAGAAUCGGGUUCUCUCCUCUCUGGUUCCAGGUGUGUCACCCGAGAACCGCA